rnacentral:pre_miRNA from 1 species
UCAAGUGAUUCAGCCAAGGAUGACUUGCCGGCAAAACCAUUUAACUCUUUUUUUCUAAUUUCAAUUUUUUUUUUACUUCUCUAUUCUCGAGUUCAGUCGAUUAAAAUUCGAACUUCAAACAUCUAUUGAAGAUAUAUAAUAAUUUAACUAAUUGAAUUACAUUAAGAAUAGUCAACAAGUUGUACUAAAAAAAAUUAAUCGAGGAAAUGUAUGUAUAUAGUAAUGUUUUUUUGAACUUUUAUUUUGUUUACUUUUGGUCGGCAAGGCGUCUUUGGCUAUAUAACUUCC